rnacentral:tRNA from 1 species
GCGGGAAUAGCUCAGUGGUAGAGCAACGAACCGAUAAUUCGUAGGUCGGAAGUUCGAGCCUUCCUUUCCGUACCA